rnacentral:sRNA from 1 species
UGCUCUAUCCCUGGUCAAAUCCUCUCUCCCUGGAUCUAUACCCAGAGGGCAGUCCCAGACUGUCCCUCUAAAGAAUUUUACUCUGUGCUAUAAACGAUAGCUACGAGAGGCCCAGGGACGGAGAGUCAGGUUGGUGAGGGAGCUCAAGGAAACUUGAUUUUACCAAGGAGAACACAGGCCAGAGAUCUGGAGCUUCUUGCUCAAAGUCACGGCAGUUGUCAUGGAUGAGGAAAGAGAGGGAAAUUGUACUUAAUUUAAUGAUUCUGGUUCCAGAGCUCUUUCCAGGAGAGUGAGCUCCACUGUGAAGUCUUUGUCUCAAGAUGGAGAGGAUUGGAGUCCAUGGAAAUUUCAAAUGGAGGCAAAAGGAAGAGGUAGGAGCCAAGGCCUGGGCUAUUGGGAAUCCCCAUUGAUCACAGCAGCACCCUGCCUAAGCCCUUGGAAAGAGGCUGGCAAGGGUCACAAUCGUUAGGAUGCUCAGGACCUUCUAGAAGCCAUCGGUGCUAUUUAAAGAGAGGCUCUCCCCCAUCUCUCCCAACUCUGUCUGUCCUUCAUUUUAUUCAUGUCUUGAGCUAGUACUACCCCACCCACAAGGGUUGCGCAACCCCCUUUCCUUCCAACACCUCUGCUUUUCUAAUCUCCUACCACAGCUACCUAAACCUGUCUCUGGGACAUGUUAUCCCAAACUGCCAUCUACAGUCCAGGUAUUAAGCGCUUUCUCAUAUAUUGCCCUGUGACAUCGCCUGUACCAUCUAUGUGGUGGUUACUUUACUCCUUGAACAGCCUUCUGUCAGCCAAUGUUCCCAGACUCCCUUUGUACAGAGGCAGUACCACUGCUUAUCAAUAGACCCAAGUAGCCAGGAGCUGUCCACACCUCCACUUCUACCUGCCCAACUGUUGUGUCCUCAGAGACCUAAAGUCCAGAUGGAGUCGCCACAGAAUGGAUAAGUUCACUUCAUCUGUGAGCAGACUUUGCACAAACAACAUGUUACAUAUUUUGUCAACACAUCGAGAGCUGAUGACAUAUUUAUAUAACUAUCACCAUAGCCACUGAUCACAGCAGCACCCCGCCUGAGCCCUCAUCUAUACUGACCAAUAAAAUUAGCUUCUGCUGUGAAAUCUUGGGUCUGUUACUAAUUGGUAAAGAGUCAUUUUCUCACUUCUGGACCUCAGUUUUGUCCUUUUAAAAACAGCAGACAUUGGAAGGUAUGGGGGGGAAAACCCAUAUUUUCCAUACACUAUGUUCCAGUCAAUGUGUCUUAUACACACAAAUACACAUUGAAUCUGACAACUGCUCUAUGAGAUUGAUUCCCCUAAGAAGGAAAAAUCUGAGUUGGGGUGGGGAGGGCUAGGGGUUGUACAGCCACCCUUCCCAGGUCACGUAGCUACUAAGUGGCUGUCUGGAGUUUGGACACAGGCAAUCUGACCCCGGAGCCCUGAAUAAUAACCACCAUGUUUCAUGAUCACUCAAACUCCCUCAAGCACGACUCUGCCGUAGCAUUCAUAUUGAUCCUGGACUCUCCACGUGCAUGCUUAUCUUCCAAGUCAAAUCGGAUUUAUUUGGGAACAGAAGUGAUGGCCCCGUUGCUGUUCAUAGCAGCCCCUCUCACUGGUUCCUGAGCCUAGGACAGAGUGCACCUGACUACAUGACUUGUAAAUCCUCCGUGAGCUGAAUUGGACAACCUGAAGUCAAAUCACAGAGCUGUAUCUCCUGGCUGGUGACUCUGACUCGAACAGUGAGAUUGCAUUAAAGACUCAGAAAGAAAACCCAGAGCCCUUCAACCUGGUGGUUCAGUGUGUGCCCCUCAUUCCAUCGAUAUGUGGUCUACAUGCUGGUUUAUAAGAAGUCCUAUGUGUAUGUGUCCUGGGAGGAUUCAUGCCUCUGCCUCUGUUUUCUGAAGAAUCACAGGCCUGCCAAUGAGUGAGUUGACUUCAAGGUACUUAAAAGAAGCACACAAAGGGUCAGGCUCAGCCAGGCUCUGUGAGGGACCAUUGCUGUGCAUAACCAUUUCCAUGCCAGUUCCAGUUGAAAAAGUAGCAAGUGAUCUCAGUGCAGGGACUGUCUUCAUGCUGUGGCAAAAUACUGGACCAGAGGCCAAAGGAAGGAAGGGUUUGCUUUGGUUCACAGUCCCGUUUUAGGGUCCAGUCAUCACGACAUGGGAAGUCAUAAAGCAGGGACUUGAGGAAGCUGGUCACACUGCACCCACAGUCAGGAAGCAGAGAGAGAUGGAUGUCUGAGCUCGCUCUGUUAAUCCCAGUGUAUUCGGUGCUGGACCUCAGCUUGUGGGAUGGUGUCAUCCACACUCAGAGUGGUCGUCUUCAAUUAAUACAUCCUAGGUUCACAGGAGGGCCUGGAACUUUGUCCCCUAGGGAACCCUAAAUCCUGUCAAAUUGACAGUCGAUUUUAACUAUAACAGGUGAGGAACAUUGUUGACUGUGUCUGCCUGUUUCUGCAGUGCAAAAUAUUCAGCCUACUGUAAGAUAGCGAUGUGAUGUCACCGGGCUGACCAUUAGAAGGGAGUUCAACAUUGAGCUCUGAACAGCCCCUCGGAGAAGGCCCCAGAAUCAGACGCUAUGCAAAGCAUGGUGGGCUUUUACCUCCACAUCCCCAAUGUACGAUUAAAGAAUUGAUGGAAGCUGGAGGAAUGUGAGUGAGCUCCAGUGAGAAUUGUGUCCAGGUAGAAGAAUAUUAGACCCUGAAGAUACGUGAUUGUCCUCUAUGAGCAAAGGCUUCUAAGUCCCACAGAAAACAGACUUAGACUCUCAUCGGUCCGGGCUGGCUAAUGUCCAAUUCUACCUGCAGGCAAAUGAACAGACCAGGUACCUCUAAACAUCACCCUCGGCCUCAGAGUUCAGUGAUGCAAACAUAAUUUGCUCUCAACUUUCUUUGGCCACUAGGGGCCUUGUCAGAUUGUCUGUAGGUCAGAGGCAGUAGUACCAGAACAGCUAGUUGCAAGCUGUCUGUACCAAUGAGAGGCAGAGUUGCUGGGCACGCUGGGUACUUUUACUGCAGCUAUCGAGAGUGAUCAGACACCAUGCGGAUGUACAACUCUUGAAUCCUCAACUUCAGAGAAUUCAGACUACACAGGGAGGCUCCUAACUACUAAAGGUGGGAGAGAGACCUGCCUGUGCCAGGCCUUCACCAAGGUUGCUCAGAAUGAACCUUGCACAUCCCUGCCAGGUCUUGGCACUCACUCUCUGCCCUACAGAGCUGGCCCAGCUCACCCAAUCACAGCAGCCCUGCAGCUUCCCUGCCUGGCACAGGACCUCUUGCUGCAUAUCCAUCAUCUCCAGGGCUCUGAGCCAUUGUCCAGAGCCUUUCCUGGGACUUGGCAGAUAAUGACCCAGACUCCUGAAACCUCGUAGGGAGGGCAGGGACCUGACUGCCAAGGAGCAGACAGGAUGUGGAGAGAAGCUUUUCAUUCCCCAUAUACAGGAAGCUUUGAAGAGACAGCAGACGAGCUGUCUCUGAGGAACGUCAUCUCCCACCAGUGAAGACUGGCUGCCAGGGAGGGUUUCUGGCCAGGCCUGCAUCCAAUGGCCUGAUCAUAUUUCCAGAGACAACCAUGAAGGAGGGGACUGCUCCUGUUUCUAAGAGGUGAAACUUCAGCACCGGGCGCUAAUCAAGCUGAGUUAACGAAGGAGCAAAGACCCGCGUUCAUUUUCCUCCCACAGAACCUCAGACGCGGGCUAAAAACGAGAGAUUCUGCAAAGUGCCCCGCUAAGCAUGCUUAUUGCAGAGGCGAGGUAGAGAACCAGACACGCUCAUGAGCAAGUUGCUUGUGAAGGCAGAAUUAAGCAUCAGAUCCCCGACUUUUGGUUUACUGCUUACACGGGCCCAGCAAAUAACACAAAUGAUGAUCCAUGGGAAGCGUAGCUUUUCAGAGAAAAGCCAACGGACUAAUUCACUGGCACGAGAAAGCUAGACUCAGCACUCAGACAGCAUUUGUUUUGAUUCUCCAGCCUGCACAUCGAGGGGUCAGCACAGCAGUGUCAACCCUGCCUGUGUGACACUUGUGCUCUCCUGACCCUGUCUCCCACAAAGCCUGGUUUUCCUGAGAUACCCCUGGUCUACCAUUCAUUCAUUCAUUUAUUCACUCACUCAUCUGUCCAGUGUCUGCCCACUCUCCUUCUAUCCAUCCCUCAUUCAACUAUGAAUCCAGCAUUUCAUUUUCUAAAGGCCCAUCACGCUCCAGACCUUCCUCUGGUUUCUGGGGGAUGUUUUAUACCUAGCAGUGAUUAAGAACAGACAUUUUGGAGUCAGACUAACUGAAGAACAAACAGGUUCGCUGCUUUCUGGCUGUGUGGCCCUGAACCCAUUGCAGGCCUCACUAAACCCCAGUUUCCCUGUCUGUAAGACGGCCAUAAUGAUAUCUCCCCUUUGAAACUGUGCUGAAAACAAACACGCGAAAAUGAGCGUGGGUAGAGACCCACAGGUAGAGCAUGCGCAGACAGCCCACAUAGGGAUUGCCCACAGGUGGAGCAUGCGCAAACGACCCAUGUUGAUCUCGUCCCCCGCCCCUCCCCAUCCCUUCAGAAGAACUUCUUCCAAUCCACUGUUCACACCCUCGCCAUUAUCCCUCUCCUCCCAUUUGAGUUUCUGUUUGUAGCUAGCUAUCUUAGUUUGUUUUGUGCUAUGAUAACUCUGAAACUGAAUCCUUUGCAAAGAACAAAAGUUUAUUUCUUUCUAGUUAUGGAAACCAAAAAUGUCCUAGGUCAAGAUACCAACAUCGGUGAAGGAUUUCUUACUAUGGUGGCAAGGCAGAAGGCAUCACACGGAAGAGAGAACAAAUUCUAACACAGUGGUUCUCAACCUCCCUAAUGCUAUGACUCUUAACACAAUUUUUCAUGUUGGGGUGACUUCCAAACAUAAAAAUUAUUUUUGUUGCUACUUCAUAACUGUAAGUUUACUACUGUUACGAAUCAUAAUGUAAAUAUCUCCAUUUUUCUGACUGUCUAAGGCAACCCUGUGAAAGGGUCAUUCAACCCCGAAAAGGGUUGCAAUGCUCAGGUUUAGUGCCAGUGAUCUGGAGGUGUGAGUAGGAACCUGUCCUUUUUAUGAGGAACCCACUCCUGCUAUGAGGAGAAUAGAGUUGAUCUAUUAAACUAUCUCCAGGCCCAGUAAUGUGGAAGCCUCCUCAGAGGUCUUACCUUCUAAAAUGGCUGUCGUGGGAAUCAAAUUCCAACAUAUGGGGUUUAGGGAAGACAUUCAAACCAGAGUAGCAACCUGUCUCACUUCCUGGAUGUCUCCAUCUUUAGCCCUUAUGUACCCUGCACCAAAUUAACUCUCCUGCCCAGUGAACUAUCUACGUAUCUUUCGACGAACACUUUCUCAUCCUACACUUUCUUCCUCUGUAGAAAGCUAGGAUUCAGUCCUCACCUCAACUACCAUCUCCUAAAGAAAUGUGCUUGAACCCCUCCCUAUUUGGCCCCUUCACUUCCUGUCCUUCUUCAGUGGUCCUCGCCUCAACGACUCUGCUCACCUGCAUCCUUGUCUCCUCUCUCAUUGCCCCAAGCAUGUUCACAAUCUCCUUGACAGCCUGCCCAACUCAGUUUCCCCACGAUGCCCAGCAGUCACUUGCACAUAAAUACUUGUUAAUUCGACCGAGCUGCUUCCCCCACCAGUCCUGUUCCCACUCAAUCUCACUUCAUAUGUCAAGGCUGUUGAUUUUAUUACCAGGAAAUCAUCUGCAUAUUCCUACCUGCUUUGCUCCCCAUGCCUGAUAUCUCAGAUUUAAAGGUAAGUUAGACUGUAGACUGCCUUUUAAAUAUCCCCAGCUGAUUCUGUACAACUGCAGCCGAGGCCUGUAACAUUUAUUUAUAACUUUGCGAAAUUGGCCGGUGGUUAAGAUAUAUAAACCCGACGGGGCUCAUGCAUUUCCAAUACAUUAAGGUAUAUUUAAAACAUGCUGUGUCUUAUCAGCGGCUUUAAAAUACACAUUACCGCAGGAAUCAGGUGGACGGGAGCGAGGUAAUUGACUAAUGAGAAUUCUGUACAGUGACUGGAAAUAUGGCAGAACUGCCCUUUGAGAACUGUGCUCGCACCUACUAAUGAACUUUAUCUGCGGCUCUAAAACACAGCCCUGUGUUUCAAACACAAGCCCAGGAGGCUGCGCGGCUCGAAUGCGGUUGUGUUAAUUCACACCUAGUUAUGGUGACUGGCACCAGCCUUCAACACUGGUCAGAAGAAAGCUGCCGAACUGCUCUAGAAUAAUUACUAAGACUGGGUUUAUUUUAUAACAGGUGCCAGGUGUUAAUAUUGAAGGGCAUGUUUUGUUCUAACUCAAAGCAUGUGCAGGGGUUUGGGGAGUCAGGGCUGUGUGCAUCUGUUCGUAUGUCCACAUCAUGUGACUACAUACACAUACACACAUACCAUUUCUGUGAUUUAAGGAUGACUGGCAUGGUAGAAAAAGGUACAAUAGGGGAAUUCAGCAAAAUCCAAGCCAAGGCAGGAGUCUAGAGUUCAGAUAGGAUUUUCCAUGACUCAUGGACCUACGGUAAAUGUUCAGAGCAAGAACAUUCAUGUCUAAGCCAGUGAAGAUAGUGGAGCUGACCUUGUCCCAAAGAAGAGCCAUUCCCUUCGUAAUGGAGGAAAAAGGCUACUUCCCAUGCAUCUUCUAAAUGGUGCUGACCCAAAGCAGUGGGCUCAGUGACCAAGGUCGAAUUGCUUCAUUCUGCUUCUUUAGAUGCCUUCCGCUGUCCCUUUGGGUGCCUUCCUAACAACAACUGUUACAAAUCUUCCCAUAAUUCCAUCACAUAUAACUGGAAUGGGGUAGACACCCACAUGGAUUUGCUCCACUGAUUUCCCUUGUAAUUCCCACCUUUUCGUUAUAACGACCCCCCAAAUCCUAUCCUUUGACUGUCUCCCUGUGGGUUAAGACUGUCUAUCUAGUUGAUCAAUGGGCAGAGUUGCCUGUGUGCCCCACAUGUAGUUCAUACAACAAAUCCAAAGGUAACUUUUUACCUAUUCAAUCUGGACAAGUCGUCCCGAUGGAUUUACCUCCCAAAUGUCAUCUCCUCCUUCCUCAACAAAUGGAGCGGGUUUACCCUCCUGGCUCAGACACCCUCCCAGCCAAUCCCAUGCUCUGUCUUUCAUAUGGAUUUAGCAUCAUCUAAACUAAAAUGUAGGAAGAUAGCUUAGCUGAUAAAGUGCUUGCCAUGUAAGUAUGAGGACAUGGGUUUGCAUUCCUAUCACCUCCCGUAAAAGCCAGCAUAGUGGCACACAUCCGUAACCCCCAUCUUGAGAGGCAGAGACAGGAGGACUCCUGGGGGUUGCUGACCAGGUCAGCCUAAUCCUCAAGCUGUGCAUGCGUGCGCACACACACACACAUUUCAUAUAUGAAAGUGUAAAGGGGCUCUGCCUAAGAUUUCGCAACUUAAAUACUAAACUCUGUUUCUUUCCUAGGAUCCUGUGUACUUACAAGGCCACCUUGGAGGCCUCUGCCAGCUUCUCCUCACUGUCCACUACUCUCCAACUGCACUCUCUACUGCAGUGACACUGGACCACCUGACCUUCUUAGCAGUUGCUGACAGCUCUCUGCUGUCCACUUAUCUCUCCUCCUUUUCUAUUUGACGAGUUUCAAAUCAACCUGCACUCAGUGAGCGCUCGCAGGAGCCUCGUCUGAUUCCUCACGCCUGCUUCCAGAGAUCAGUCUGCUGUGUGCAUUGAAAUGUGUUGAUUUUUUUUAAGGUUGUUUGAACCAACAGAAUGGCAACUUGGGAAUUAGUGACUGUAUGUAUCUCUUCCCUUUUUGCAUUGCAAAUUGUUUAUAAAAGUAUUUUUGGUGGGAGCGUUUGAGUGAACAAAUGGAAUGUUUGCACUCACUUUGGUAAAGACUAGAAAUGAAGAGGAAAUGUUGAGGCCAUUGGGCUCAAUGAAUCUUUAAUUUGUACUCUGAAAGGAAUAGAGAAGGGAUGGUAUUCAUGAAAGAAAAAUGUGGUUAUGCUGAGACUUUUAGCUUCAUAUUACCUGAAAACUCACUGUCAAGGCUGAGAAGAUAGCUCGUAGAUAAAGUCCCUGCUACAUAAACUUGAGGACCUGAAUUCAGACCCCCAGCACCCAUGUAAAAGAGUCAAACAUGAUAGAAGUGACUGAGUAAACUUCUUUGCUGAGAGAGGGGAUAAAUAGAGACAGAGAGAUCCCUAGAGCUCUUUGGCUGGUUAACCUGGCCAAAUCAAAGGACCCCAGUUUCAGUGAGAGCCCUUAUCUCAAAAAAUAAUAUUGGAGGAAUAUUUUGAAGAAAGAUACUUGCUUGAUGCUACCUUUUAGUUCCACAUGCACACAAAAAAAACCCAUGCACAAUGCACAAUUAACCGGUUCCCUGUAAAAUCAGGAAGGGACACUGUUGUGUGCAGUGCAGGUGCUGGCCAAACUUAGCAUUUCCUUGCUGUGUUAGUACGUGCGGUGCCAUGUGUGGAGGUAACACUAGGACACCUGUCACUCAGGGAAAGACAAUAUACAGUCUAUCACUAAUUCUGUCACACACCCUUUGGGAAUUUGGAAGUGAAGUCAUCUGGGAUUGAGGGUCGAGUGGAUGGGAAAGAAACACCUGGAUCGGUGAAAAAUAUUUAACAAACAGCGGGUGUUAGGUCUCCACUUUUGUGUUGAUAUAAUGAAAUGUCAAAGAGAACCAGUUAUGGGAGAAAUUAUUUACUUUAUUGCAGGGAUUCCAAGGUUUCCAUCCAAGCGGACGGGGAAGAAAAACAGCACAGAAAAGGGAGACAAGAAGGAACUAUGGAUAUGGCAAAGUGAGUUGAGUUCUGGGUUAAGGCCACCUUGGAGCCAGUAUUAACAGAAGCUCAGAAAGGUUACCACCAAGGGACUCUUGGGGAGCACCCCUUUUUCUGUGCUUCUGUUACCCAGAAGCAUCUUCCAGAGGACAGAGCAAGCCUACCACACCAACACCUCUUCUGUGAGUGAGGUGUUCCUGCUGUUGAUGAUGGAAAAACAAAGGAAAGAUCCUUUCUCAAGAUGCUACCCAAGAAGCACAUUAGUAUGACCAGUCUGAAGAGCUGUGGUGAUUCCGCUCAGGGCUUCUGCGCACCAAAAAUUAAAAGCAAAGAUCCUUAAAUCAACUGGACUACUUCUGGGCAGAUGGUCCAAAACCGUGUGUCUAAUGAGAAAGAGCUUUGUGGGGGAACAGUCACCAUCCUCCAUGCUGCAACUGCACCAAAGGGCUCAACAGUGCGGCAAAGACCACGUGACAUACGUGACCCUGACCCUUUGCACCUCUCCAAAGUCUGCCAGCCAAUGAGCAUUCAUCUUUUGGAGCUACAAGUGCAUGCUGGUCUGUGUGUGUGUGUGUGUGUGUGUGUGUGUGUGUGUGUGUGUGUGUGUGCAUGUGUGUGCAUGUAUGUGGGGGUGUGUUGCGCAUACAUGAGUGGCUUUUCAUGCUGGGCAUUCAAACUCAAGUAUUUAUACUAUAGAGCAAAACUUUCCCCCCACUGAGCUAUUUCUCCAGUCCCUCUGAUUUUUUUUAAGUCAAAAUGGUAUUAUUAUAAAUAUCAUAAUACUUUAAAAUCAAGAAGUCCCCGUGUUGUGUCUGUGUAGCAAAGGACAAUAAAACAUGGCCCUGUCAAACUGCA